rnacentral:rRNA from 1 species
ACACGACUACAUUAGAUACCCGCGUAGUCCUAGCCGUAAACGAUACUCGCUAGGUGUCGGCCACGGUGCGACCGUUGUCGGUGCCGUAGGGAAGCCGUGAAGCGAGCCACCUGGGAAGUACGGCCGCAAGGCUGAAACUUAAAGGAAUUGGCGGGGGAGCACAACAACGGGUGGAGCUUGCGGUUUAAUUGGAUUCAACGCCGGAAAUCUUACCGGGACCGACAGCAACAUGAAGGCCAAGCUGAAGACUUUGCCGGAUUUAGCUG